AAAAUUGCCUAUCAGUUUGCAGCAGCUGCAGCCUCUCUGGGCCUGCUUAUGGAGGGGGGUACUGUGCAUUCCCUGGCAUCAAGCCAGUCUUCCUUCAGCCGACUUGAGGGGCUUCACUUACAAUCAACCCACAAGUUAGAAGAUCAAAAUUCAAAUUAGCACUUCCAGCACUAGUUGACCUGUGAUGUCAGGCAAGUCCCUUAACUCCCUGAGCCUCAGCACACUCAUCUACAAAACAGAUCUCCUUCUUGCCCUGAUUUGGGUUUAUUGAGGGGCAUAAUUUAAAAGGGAUUGAAAGCACUUUAAAAAAUGAUAAAGUAAAAAAAAAAAAGAUAAAGUCCUCUAAAACUGUUAGGAAAUUAAGAUGAAAUAGAGUUCUCCAAACCCUAUACAAAGCUGUUGCUGUUACCAGUUUUUAAAGGAAGGCUACAUAAUGUGGUGGAAAUUACUUGGGCUUGGAAGUCAGAUAUCCCGGAGUUCAUAUCUUCACUUGACUGCUGACCAGUUGUGUGGCAUAAGGCAAGUUCUCUAACCUCCCAGAGCCUUAGCAUCCUCAUGUAUAAAUAGGGAGAAUGAUCUCUGCCUGGCAGAGUUGUGAGAAUUGAAUAUGAUAAUAUAGAAUACCUGGUAUGUAAGAGGCCGCAGGGGUAGUUAAUCAUCAUACUAAUAAUUACAAGUAAUAGCACAGAGCACUCAUUUUGUUAACUGUUAUAAAAUGAGGGGCCCAACUCUCCCCCACUCCAAAACUCUGGGAGAGGAAAGAAGCCAGGCUCCUGCUACCACAUUGGACACUACUCCAAGGAGGAUAUGUUGCUGCAGAGGCACAGGGCUCAGUGCACAGGCUGAUGACAAGAGUUGGCUUCAGGAUUGGGCAGACAGGCAGCCAGGAGCCAGCAAAGGCGGGAGGGCCUUGUAACUGAUGGGAUUCCUGAAGGAGGCUCAGAGAGAGUGGCCAGGUGGGAGUUUCAGAUUAGGAAUUUACCCCCAAAAGGUCUUAAAAUGGAAUAAAAUUAAGAAUGAUACUUACAAAGUACCAAAAGCAUAGUGGGUCUCUCACACGGUAUGUGUUCAACAAGGCAGCUGUCAUCAUUGUUGAGUCACAGCACCUUAGAUUGUAUUCCUGACUUUGUCCUUAACAUUGGAAUAUUGGAUUUGGAAGGAAUAUUUUGGGAAAUGCUAGACAUUCAGAACUGAGCCAGUAGAAUUAGCCAAGUGAAAGAACAGAAGUUUAGCAGAGCUGAAAAAAACCAUUCCCAUAAAUCCCACCCACCUUAGAUUGGCAUUUCAUGUGUAUUCUUUCUGAAGCCCACCAGCAACCCUUUGACAUAGGUCGGAUGGUGUGAUGAGGUUAAAAGACUAGGUAAAGAUAGUGCAUAUUGGAACUGCUGUGGAACUGCUGUGGAAUUAAAGCUUGUGCCUGCUGGAUUCGUCCCUUUGCAGCUCUUCCACACUGCGGCUCCUGUGGUAGCCAAAACAGCACAGACUUCUAAGGAGCUCCUGGCAAACCAAAACAUAAUGAGUUUCAAGCAGUUCCCCUUGUGGUAUUCUCUAUGCCUAGGUGUAAUGUGGGGGUUAGCAACAGGUACUCUGGAGCCAGAAUCCCAGCUUGAAUCCCAGCUCCACAACUUAACUGUUGGGAGGUGUGAGACAAAUUAACUUCUCUCUGCUUCAGUUUCCUCAUCUAUACAAAGGGAUAGUAAUAGUACCUACUUCAUAAAAUAGGUACUUUAGUUAGUAGAAGUUAUAUGGCAUACAGUAAGCACUUAAAUUUUAACUGUGAUCAUGAUGAUCUCCUUGGGCAGCCAGACCAAAUUAUUUUUUAAUUUUUUUUAUAAAGAAUUAUUUAUUG